GUGAGGAAUAUUGGUCAAUGGGCGAGAGCCUGAACCAGCCAAGUCGCGUGAGGGAAGACGGUCCUAUGGAUUGUAAACCUCUUUUGCCGGGGAGCAAAGAGCGGUACGUGUACCGCGCCGAGAGUACCCGGAGAAAAAGCAUCGGCUAACUCCGUGCCAGCAGCCGCGGUAAUACGGAGGAUGCGAGCGUUAUCCGGAUUUAUUGGGUUUAAAGGGUGCGUAGGCGGACGAUCAAGUCAGCGGUCAAAUGUCGGGGCUUAACCCCGGCCUGCCGUUGAAACUGGUUGUCUUGAGUGAGCGAGAGGUAUGCGGAAUGCGUGGUGUAGCGGUGAAAUGCAUAGAUAUCACGCAGAACUCCGAUUGCGAAGGCAGCAUACCGGCGCCCAACUGACGCUCAUGCACGAAAGCGUGGGUAUCGAACAGG
rnacentral:rRNA from 1 species